ACUUAUUCACUACUCAUAAGUUACAUAUUGUACUAUUCAUCCUAUUAUUCAUGGGCAUUACUUUUGUACUUAUUCAGCACAUUAUAUUCUCACACAUUCGUCAUUCUUAUUUCGUUCUUGAAAGCAAGUGGAUUUAUAUUCUAAAGAGUAUCAACCAAAUUUUGUAAAUUCUAUAUUAUAAAUAAAUUAAUAUUAUAAAUUUCGUGUUUGAUCAAUUAAUAAAAUUAUAACUGGCGCAGUCUUUAAACAAAAGUACCUACGUGAAUUUAAAGUAAAUUAACUAAAGUUAAAUUGAUAAAAGCCAUCGUACAGUUUUGCGGCAUAAGUUUAUAUAUACAUAUGUGAAUUUAAACAACGUGAAACACACUUUAAAGCGAAUAGAAUUUUAUGGAAAUAAAACAGUGACGAUUGAAGAAAAAAAAGAAGAGAUUUAAGAAAGAAGCGGUGACAGAGACAGCAGGUAGAGAGAGAAAAAGGUGAUUGCGAAAAGAAGAAAAAACAAACUUCAUAAAAAAAUAAAAUCGUAAAAGUGUAUUGAAUAAAAUUUUGAAUAUUGGAAAAUACAUAAAAUCUAAAGUAGUAAUUAAAACAGAAAGUGGGUCCUCUCACACAGUUGUAUCACGUAAAAAACGAACUUGGAAUGCAAACCAAACGGGAAACAUUAAAAAUCUGGGUACAGCAGCCAGAUUCGGUGUGUAUAUUUCCAGUGGUGUUGUACAAAGCAAGACAAAUAGUUGUGUGCCGGUUUCUGUGUUAUUCGCAUUUUGAACGUAUCAGCAGCAGAGACAACAGUACAAAACAGCAUAGGCACAAUAGCGGCAACGGUAGCAGCGCAGCCACGGCAACAUUGUGCACGAGUGUAUCAACGACGACAACGACGACUGCUGUUCCAGAGUUUCAAACGUACACGAACACAAUUAUUAGCGCAACGACGUUUAUUUAGCGAACUGGUUGGAAAAGCAGCAAAAUAUUGGAAUUACAAGUGCAUCAUGGCAUUUCAGCUAACUGCGAGCGACAUCAUCAAAGAUGCUCAAUCAAUCGUCAUAUUUAAAGGCGACAAUACAUAUGCGUUAUCAUCAUUC